rnacentral:lncRNA from 1 species
UCCCGCUUUACUCUUUAGAUUCAUGGGUUCAAGCGUUUAAGCAUGCAUACUACCUUCGCCAUACGUUCAUUAGUCAUCUUACAGUCAUUUUCCUCUUUCCAAGAGGUGUUGGCCUAAAGGCAACCUGCUAAUUACGUUCUCAACGAAUUCCCUGCUGCGCACUCUGAUUCGACUACUUACUAGCAUCCUCUUGACUGUGUCAUUGCAGCCUUAGUUUAGAGAUUCCUGGACAGUGUCAGACAUCGUCUCAUAUUAUCUGACGUUACUGUUUUUGUUGUCACUCCUACCGUUGGACAUCCCAAAGUAAUACUUGCAUCACUUCGUGACAUCAGACGCACCACUGUAUUUAACACUUUACCACAUCUUACAGUCUCGCGACACAUCUAUACAUACCACUUACGGUCGUCUCAUACUCCUGGUCUCCUCACGAUGUCGCAUAUUUCUAUACGUUCCUUCUUCACGUCGUAAUUCACCUGUGAUAACGUAGUUGAUUCAACAUCUACUAUGAAUUACUCUAUUGAAAUUCAUGAGCCAAUUCAACUGACAAGAAUUAUCCACUCAGCACAUAAAUUGUUAAAGAUCCAUCGCUUCUAAUUAUCUGACCGAAAACUAGAUAAGAAGAAAAAAAUGAAAACUUGAGCAAUGAAGUUGGUCAAUAUGAUGAGAAGAACCUGGGUAUGAAGAAGAGUAAUACAUUCACCAGAUAUCAUUGGUUCAAUGCUAAUAGAGCAA